GCGCACCAGUCGAGAAACCUUCGCAAUGCGGGAAACCGCGACGAGGGACUCCCAGUGCCUACGCUCAGCGUAGGCUGUUCCCGAGCCUAGAAAGCUCGGGGAGUAAGGGCUGGGUAAGACGGGUGCCAGCCGCCGCGGUAAUACCCGCAGCCCGAGUGGUGGCCACUAUUAUUGGGCCUAAAAGCGUCCGUAGCCGGCCCGGUAAAUGCCUGGGUAAAUCGUGAGGCCUAACCUCACGAAUUCCGGGUAGACUGCCGGGCUAGGGACCGGAGGAGGGAGAGGGUACUCCAGGGGUAGGGGUGAAAUCCUGUAAUCCCUGGAGGACCACCGGUGGCGAAGGCGCUCUCCUAGGACGGGUCCGACGGUGAGGGACGAAAGCCAGGGGAGCGAACCGGAUUAGAUA
rnacentral:rRNA from 1 species